AGCGAACGCUGGCGGCAGGCCUAACACAUGCAAGUCGAACGGACCCUUCGAGGUUAGUGGCGGACGGGUGAGUAACACGUGGGAACGUGCCUUUAGGUUCGGAAUAGCUCCUGGAAACGGGUGGUAAUGCCGAAUGUGCCCUUCGGGGGAACGAUUUAUCGCCUUUAGAGCGGCCCGCGUCUGAUUAGCUAGUUGGUGAGGUAAUGGCUCACCAAGGCGACGAUCAGUAGCUGGUCUGAGAGGAUGACCAGCCACAUUGGGACUGAGACACGGCCCAAACUCCUACGGGAGGCAGCAGUGGGGAAUCUUGCGCAAUGGGCGAAAGCCUGACGCAGCCAUGCCGCGUGGAUGAUGAAGGUCUUAGGAUUGUAAAAUCCUUUCACCGGUGAAGAUAAUGACUGUAGCCGGAGAAGAAGCCCCGGCUAACUUCGUGCCAGCCGCCGCCGUAAUAC
rnacentral:rRNA from 1 species